AGACCAAUAUCUAAUAGGGUUGGCUGCAGAAAGCCCUGAAACACAUGGCUAAUUAAACUGUGACCAACCAGCUAGUUAGCUGAAUAAGCUGUAGCCAGUUAAAUUAUUUUCUGUUUUACUUCCAUUUUUUUCUAUAAACACUGUCCAGUUGGUAACCUCCUUGGUGAGAGUUAAUUAAAAGCCAUUUUAAAAAUCUUUUAAAAAUACACAAAUUUGAAAUAGUGUUUUAUAGAUCACAGCUUCUCAAACUGUGGGUUGUGACACCAGAUGGGGUCAACUGCAUGUGGUGAUCACAAACAAACAAACAAACAAACACAGUAAAAGGAUUCUGAUCUAAUAGUGGCAGUGACCAAGAAAUUAACUUGAAACCAAACACAUAACCCACUGAGUCACAUCCCCAGCCCAUGAGAUACCUUCAAUACACACAUGGAAAUAGUUUGUUAACAGUUGGUACAUAUCUAUUGAAGGGACUCUGGCCAGCUUGACACUGAUAGGCAUGGCUCUGACUGGCCUUGCCUUGUCAGCCAUGUCCUCUGCCUUGCUAAAAACUGUUAGAUUACAUUCCUAAAGCUAGUCACCAAAGGUCUAUUGCCUUAUUUGGCCACUUGCUCCUCCUGAGAUUGACCACCAAGGUCCAGAUAUCAACAUAUUGAAGUUCAGCAAUCAAAAGCUCCCCUUGGCUCACCUAGUUAAAAUGUCCAAUUAAAUGCCUCAUCCUAACACAGGCAUUUACCCUUUUACCUUUAUAAGCCACCAUUUUCCUAUGGACCACUUCUGUCUCCAGAGGCAGUCCUUUAUUCCCUGGGGACAAAUACCCCUCCUCCCUCUCCCUUGUUCCCUUCCCCUAAAUG
rnacentral:lncRNA from 1 species